rnacentral:rRNA from 1 species
UACGGAGGGUGCGAGCGUUAAUCGGAAUACUGGGCGUAAAGGGUUCGUAGGUGGUUAAUUAAGUUAUCUGUAAAAUCCCUGGGCUCAACCUGGGCAGGUCAGAUAAUACUGGUUAACUCGAGUAUGGGAGAGGGUAGUGGAAUUUCCGGUGUGAGCGGUGAAAUGCGUAGAGAUCGGAAGACACCAGUGGCGAAGGCGGCUACCUGGCCUAAUA